AUUUGAAAUCUGGUCUCUUCGAUGUCCGAUUUGUGAUUUGACCAAGGCAACUUUGUACCUGGUCCUUGUCUAUGUUCCUUGGAACAGGACGUCAUAGAGGGUGAGAAUCCCGUGUGGCGAGGAUCCCAGUUCUUUGUAAAGUGCUUUCUACGAGUCGAGUUGUUUGGGAAUGCAGCUCUAAGUGGGUGGUAAAUUCCAUCUAAAGCUAAAUAUUGGCGAGAGACCGAUCGCGAACAAGUACAGUGAUGGAAAGAUGAAAAGAACUUUGAAAAGAGAGUGAAAAAGUACAUGAAAUUGGUGAAAGGGAAGGGCA
rnacentral:rRNA from 1 species